AUUGAACGCUGGCGGCAUGCCUUACACAUGCAAGUCGAACGGCAGCACGGGUGCUUGCACCUGGUGGCGAGUGGCGAACGGGUGAGUAAUACAUCGGAACGUACCUUAUCGUGGGGGAUAACGCAGCGAAAGCUGUGCUAAUACCGCAUACGCCCUGAGGGGGAAAGCGGGGGAUCGCAAGACCUCGCGCGAUUAGAGCGGCCGAUGCCUGAUUAGCCUGUUGGUGGGGUAAAAGCCCAACAAGGCGACGAUCAGUAGCUGGUCUGAGAGGACGAUCAGCCACACUGGGACUGAGACACGGCCCAGACUCCUACGGGAGGCAGCAGUGGGGAAUUUUGGACAAUGGGGGCAACCCUGAUCCAGCAAUGCCGCGUGAGUGAAGAAGGCCUUCGGGUUGUAAAGCUCAUUUGUCAGGGAAGAAACACCGGCUCUAACACAGUCCGGGAAUGACGGUACCUGAAGAAUAAGCACCGGCUAACUACGUGCCAGCCGCCGCAGUAA
rnacentral:rRNA from 1 species